GUCCACGGCCUAAACGAUGGCAACUGGGUGUUGGGGAAGCGAUUUCUCAGUACCGUAGCUAACGCGUGAAGUUGCCCGCCUGGGGAGUACGGCCGCAAGGUUAAAACUCAAAGGAAUUGACGGGGACCCGCACAAGCGGUGGAUGAUGUGGAUUAAUUCGAUGCAACGCGAACAACCUUACCUACCCUUGACAUGUCCGGAAGCCCGCUGAGAGGCGGGUGUGCCCCGAAAGGGAAUCGGAACACAGGUGCUGCAUGGCUGUCGU
rnacentral:rRNA from 1 species